rnacentral:rRNA from 1 species
UCCGGAGGGUGCAAGCGUUAUCCGGAUUCACUGGGUUUAAAGGGUGCGUAGGAGGGCAGGUAAGUCAGUGGUGAAAUCUCCAAGCUUAACUUGGAAACUGCCGUUGAUACUAUCUGUCUUGAAUGUUGUGGAGGUGAGCGGAAUAUGUCAUGUAGCGGUGAAAUGCUUAGAUAUGACAUAGAACACCAAUUGCGAAGGCAGCUCACUACACAAUUAUUGACGCUGAGGCACGAAAGCGUGGGGAUCAAACAGG